rnacentral:rRNA from 1 species
CUACGGGGUGCUCCAGUGAGGAAUUUUGCGCAAUGGGGGCAACCCUGACGCAGCAACGCCGCGUGAUCGAUUGAAGCUCCUAGGAGUGUAAAGAUCUGUCGUGAAGGAAGAAAAAGUCCGAGAAUAAUAAGUUCGGUAAUUGACGGUACUUCACAAGAAAGCUCCGGCUAACUUCGUGCCAGCAGCCGCGGUAAUACGAGGGGAGCAAGCGCUGUCCGAAAUAACUGGGCGUAAAGGGUACGUAGGCUUUUGUGUGUGUUUUCGGUGAAAGUCAUAGGCUCAACUUAUGAAUUGCCGGAAAAACUGCAUAGAUUGAAUCCGGAAGGGGAAAGCGGAAUUCCUGGUGUAGCGGUGAAAUGCGUAGAUAUCAGGAGGAACACCAGUGGCGAAGGCGGCUUUCUGGUCCGGAAUUGACGCUGAGGUACUAAAGCGUGGGUAGCAAACAGGAUUAGAUACCCCGGUAGUC